CUUGCGCAAUUCCACGCGAGACGCCCGGCUCCACGACGUUGCCGCGCCGCGCCGCACCGCGCCGUGCGGUGCCGCGCCGCGUCGCGCCGCGCCGUGUCGCGCCGCGCCGCGCCGCGCCGCGCCGUGCCGAAUCGAGCCGCGGCGGCCGCGCUGCCGCCGCGCCACCACCGCCGCGGCACGGCUCGGCCGCUCCUCUCUCAUGUCAUGUUGUCGUCUGCCACGCGUUUGAUAGCCGGCAUCUCCGUCCGUGCGUGCGUAUGUGACGCGCCCUUAUGCGUCUCCUCUCGCGAAUCUCGUCAACGAUUUCCGGUGAUACGCGUUUUCGCUUCAGCCGAACAAUUUUUACGUUCUGACUUCUAUCCUUUUUCUUCCGAACUUGUCGCGAACUGAGUUGAAUUAUUUCAUAAUAAUGCAUGAUGUCCGAACGGUUGGUUAACGCUCCGAUAUCGUUUCAUUAAUUUGCAAGUGAAUCUAACGUGAAUGAGGUGAACUAUUCGCGACAGUGUCUAAUGGAGACAGCGAAGACCUCGGUUGAUCCAAGUUCGAUCUUCGUGGGAGGCUGCGCAGCGCGUAAAGAUAAACAUCCAUACGCAAGAAUAACAUCUUCCAGAUCCCUCUAAUCACAACACUCGGAGGAUAACCCCGUACAUAAGCGAGGAACACGGGUAGGAAAACACUUUUGAUAGAGCCAUCGGAAAAAAUGAGAGAGCGGCCUGACAAUUCAUCAAGGGAGAUCAUUAUUCGUGGUAGCGAAGAAAACUAGACUCGCACAACCGGUGAACAAUUCGUAACUUUCGGAAAAUGAAGUAAACGCAACACGCUGGGAAAUAUAAAAAAAAAAGAGAGGAGAAGGAGCGAAGCAACCUUGAUCGGCUCUCACGUGCAGCAAAAUUUACAUGGACGUGGAGAUGGAGGGUCCCGGAGGUUCAAUUACGAGAUUGCCAAUAUGCAAGCGACAUGGCGGUGGCGGCCAUCGCUUCGGCUGAUGAGGCUAAUGGAUGGUUGAAACCUGAGAAGAACGGCAAAGAGGAAAAAGAGGCCAAGGGAGAGGCCCCUGACAGCCACUAAGUGCGCUCCGUCCUUCUCCACCCUUCCCCAAUCCCCCCUCCCUCUUCCAUUCCCGUCCCUUCGGUCCCAGCCCUGUUCUCUCUCGCCUCUGCAACACUCUGCCCGCUGCGGAUGCCCUUAUGUGAAACCUAAUCACUUUUAGCGCGUCACGGAUAUUUCGUAUUAUGUCUACAUUGCGUUCUCCGGUAUCGGCCGACUUUAUCAGCCGUCUCUCUACGGUUCGACCUUUCCCUCAUCGCCCCUCGUACCCAUCCUUCACGAAGUCGAGUCGCGCGUGCAGCAAGCCCUAAUCGGCUGAUGCGUUUCUCAAGGAUAGAUCGUGGAGUUUUUGAGAGAAGCGUCGAAAAAUGCUUAUAAACUCUUCAUUGUGUAAAUGUAAAAAUUUUUUUAAAUAAAAAAUAUAAAAUAUAAAACUCAUUAAAUAUUUCUGAAAUGCUUUUGUCUCUAGACUGUUAAAAACAAAGUAUUUAAUGAUACUUAUCUUUACCUAAUCUAUUCGUCUUUAGCUGCCUUUUUGAUUAAAAAUUUUUUUCAAACAAUUGUAUACAUCCAAAUGCUGUAUUUUUAUAUUUAGUUUUACUUAUCGCAAUGCUGUUAGUAAUGACAUUGUAAUAAAAGAUUACGCUUUAUAAUGCGUGAUUACAACUUAGAUAAUGCAGUUAUGACAGAGAAGUAUAAUUUGUAUUGGAUAAUGCAACAUCUUUCUUUCUAUGUUGUUAAAUCGAUACGUAUGUACGAAUGCUUGUAAUAAUGGCACAUUUGCGUGUUUGUACUAAUGUAUGCAAUACUUUAUUAAUACGUAUCGCAAUUUCGCAUCAUUAAAAUAAUAUGUGCGCAAAAGGAAAUUAAUUUUUCUAGGAAAUUUAUAAUGUGAUCUCAACUAUUAAUGAUUUGUUCUAUUGCCAAAAUUAGAUUAUCUAUGCAACAUAUCAUAAUGCAAAAAAAAUGUAUUCCUAACGAUUUAACAACUAUUGUGCAUUUUUUAGCAAGAAAUAAAAUUAAAAGAAAUUGAAAGAAAAUAUAGAAAAGUAAUAAAAAUAAUUUAAUUAUACAGUCGUAUUGUUGGAAUCAUUUUGGUUUUGCUAAUUAUUUCAAUUUUUUUGUAUUAUAAAGUAUAGAAUACUUUCAAAUAUUUUAUAAGUAUGUGAAUAUAAUACAAAUAAUGAUAUAAUAUUAAAAUAUUUCUUCAGUAACCGAAAAUAAGAAUAGAAAAUUACUAAAUAUUAUACAUUCAGCUGUAAUGUUAAAGCUAAGAUUAAUCUCUAUAAAUCUAGACAAUUAAAGACACACAAUAAAUUUUGUAAAAUAUGCAGAUUUAACAUAGUUCGCAAAUAUUUGUUAUAAGUUUCAUUAGUAGAAAGGUUACACAAAUUGAUAUAGGGUCUACAUAGAGUCACUGCACCAUUCAUUGAACAAUCACUAAUAAAUGACUGUUUAAGAAAAAAAUGUAACUGUUUAAACUGUUUAAGAAGAAUAUUAAAAUAAUAGAAAUAAAA